UAAAAUAGAGUUCUGUGUAUUUAAAUAUCAGUGUCUCAUUACACUUCUCACCACCACAGAGCAAAGACAACGCUCAUCCUUUUCUCUCUUCUUUUUCUUCUGUGUCUCAAUCAUUCUUGCCAAACAUAGUCUACAUUCUGCUGUUUCAUGGCUGUGAAACUACGGUAUUUGGCUGUGUAGAAUUGAAAAUUGGGUUCAAUUUUCAGAUUCUUCUAUUGAGAAUAUCUGUCUCUUCCUUCUUGCCGAUUCUGGAUUGAAGUCGCAUGCCUCCCUCA